UACGUAGGGGGCGAGCGUUGUCCGGAAUCAUUGGGCGUAAAGCGCGUGUAGGCGGUCCGAUAAGUUCGCUGUGAAAGUCGGGGGCUUAACCCUCGGGAUGCCCGGUGAAUACUGUCGGGCUUGAGUACGGAAGAGGCGAGUGGAAUUCCUGGUGUAGCGGUGAAAUGCGCAGAUAUCAGGAGGAACACCGGUGGCGAAGGCGGGUCUCUGGGCAGUAACUGACGCUGAGGAGCGAAAGCGUGGGGAGCGAACAGG
rnacentral:rRNA from 1 species